ACGGUGGCAGAACCUGCGGGCUAGGUGGGCGACUCGCCCUCGAGGACGAAGAGGAAACAAGGGCCGCCGCUCGGAAGGAGCGAGGAGGCGCGUGGAGUCCAGGAGUCCGGCCGCAACCGCUACCUCUACCUCCAGCAGCGGGAGAAAGCGCACCGGCAGGCGCACCGGCGGCAGCUGCGACCCUGCGCGCAGGUGGCAGUGUAGAAGCCAAAACGGGAGCUUCCAGAAGUAGUUUCUGAAAAAUAAGAGUUGAAUGUACAUGAGUAAGCAAGCACAGGAAUCUGAAAACCACAGGUAACCUGGCACUCUGUUCAAGGUCGGAACGGUCUCCUUGAAGCCAUUGAAAUGUAGAGCUGGAAGGGACAGCUGGAUCAUCUUAUAAAUCUCCCUUUUAAAGAUGCAGCUUAGGAAGUUUAACUGACUCACUGAAGGUAACAGAGCUGCUUCAAGAUGGAGAAACUGAGUCCUGAAAGAUUUUGAUAUCAUUGAAAUUACACAAGGAACUAAAUAUAGACUGUGCAUUUUAAAGGAGGACCAAAUUGAGGAAGGCACCCUCUCAAAGAGCAAUGCUUCUGUUCAGUUUUGUGAGUACUUUCUGAUUAUAUCAUUCAUGGCUUUUUUUUUAAUAGAAAAAAUAUUAAACUUGUAUUGAAAUACACGUGUUGGCUUUUAAGGUGGAGGCUUGUAGCAGCAUUUUGAUUUAUCCAUGUUAUGGAUUCGGGCAGAGUAACCAGCCAAUUUCAGAUUUUUUUUUGGGGGGGGGAGGAUUUAGUUAUAAAUUGGUUUGAACUUUCUAUGAAAUCACAACUUAGAACUGCUCUGAACUGCUUUUCAUUGACUAGUUAAUGACUAGUUAAAUGAAGGAUGCUUCUGUAAGGUAGACCUUGAGUUGUCCCAAUUCUCUGAUGCUUCAUCCUUCCCUGGUGCUUCUAAUGCUGGGGCUGUCUUUUAGCUGCCUGAGUCUUCACUGCUUUCUUUCUUCAUGCCUCUCUGUCACCAACUACCUGGGCUCUUGGAGGGUUCAUCCUCAGAGACAUGUGAAAGACCCCACCAAGCAGCUCCUUUCUAACCCCUCACUCCUGGAAAGUCACAAUCAACACAUUACUUUGCUAGAAAGCUCCUCUUGGGCCUCUGAUCUCAGGGUAGAAAAUUCUUGCAAUAAUAAGCAAAGGACUUGUCUUUGUUUUUGAGAAGAAACCCAGCACCACGGAUGAUAUAAAUUUCUACUUGGUAUCCAGGGUUUAGGCCAGAAUAUGGAGAUUUUCACAUCCUCUCACAAGGGUGUUUGAUUGGGUGAACAUCUGUUGUGUGCCAGGCUCUGCAACAGUAUUACCACAUUGCAUUCAUACCAUAACACUGAGAGGAAGAGAUGAUUGGCCUUAUUUUAGAAAUGAGGCCAUAGAUACUUAAGAGAGGCAUUCAAAUUAUUUGUCCAAGGUCACAUAGCUAGUAAACAAUGGAAGGCCUGCCUCCCCCUCACUUGUUUGAUUUCACUGACCUAUACCAAAGAAAAAUAUCUCAAUGGAUGUUGGAUUUGAUGCUUCCUUUCUAAUUUGUGUGUAUGGUUUUCUUUUCUUUUUCUUUGGGUGGUUCUGGGACUUGAACCCAGGGAUGCUUUACCACUGUGCCACAUUUUUUUUUCUUUUAAUUCUGAGACAGGGUCUCACUAAGUUGGUGAGACUGGUUUGAACCUGUGAGCCUCCUGUUUCAGCCUCCUGAGCCCCUGGAAUUUUAGAUGUGUACCACCCUGUGUGGCUAAACAUAUGGAACACUUCAUCCUUGCACAGGGGACUUGCUACUAUUCUCUCUAUUGUUCCAAUUUUAGUAUGUGCACUGCCGAAGCUAGUUCUAUUUUCAAAAAAAAGAUGCAGUCUUACUGUGUUGCCCAGGCUGGCCUGGAACUUCCAGACUGUACCUGCCGAGUCAUUGGUACUGAGGUGUGCCACUCAGUUCAACCAGGCACAUAUUUUUAAUUUUGCAGAAUUUUUGUCUAAUGAGACUGAAUGUAUAUUAAGGAAAAAAAAAAUUUUUUGGAGGGGGGUUGUAUUGUGUGCCAGACCCUAUUCUAGGUGUUAGUGAUAUUAUCAGUGAACAUAUAUAGACAUUUUUAUCAAACUCUGAGUUAAAGCUCAAAGCUUCAUAUAUACAUAUUUCAUCAUGUCUUUCAUUCACUAGCAACACAUUGAAACACAGAACCCAAGAUUAAUUGCUGUCAUUUUUCCAUUGACUCACAGAAUUACUGAACUAGCAGGGUACUUCUGAGGUUACUUAGCCAGCUCCUGAGGCUCUGGGGGAAAUGCCAACCUAAACCAUUCUAUUAUUAAUAAUUUUCGGGGGGGGGGGGUGUUCCAUUAAGCCUUUGCAGUAGCCACUGCUUGCUUUGGAUGCCUAUAGCCUUUGUGAUGAUGAUAAAUUAUUUCUGUCCUUAGAAUUGGCUGGAGUAUAUGUCAUUUUAAAACUGCAUGCAUGAAAAACAUUUUAAAAAUCUUUAAUUCUAUGCUUUUAAAGAAAAUGAUGGUGAUGCUUGAUGAUUUCCCCUACUUUUCUGUCCCAAACCGAAAGGUCAUUUGACCCCAGUUUGCAGUGUGUUUUAUAGCUUCUGGGAACAUCUUUUCUAAUAGUUACCUUGUGCGUGACUGUAUUUUCUUCCAGAAAGCUCUAUGCUUCAUAUGGAAUUGCGUACUUGUUCACCUUUUGACCAUUAUGGUUAAUAGAGCUUGACCUCUUGUUUUGAUAGAAUUAUCAGUUGGGUGACUACAGAGUGGAAUUUAGUUUUAUUAAACCUUCCCUCGUGGGAAUGUGACAACUCCAAAGCUUAAUGAGUAGCCACCCAUACUUUAAGUUUCAAAUUCCAUGACAUAUUUAUUCCUUGAAAAUAUAGGGGAACAUCAGGGAUACUCUAGUUUUCCAUCUUGAGAAUACCAGUGGGGGAGGAAACGUCUCCUAGAAGAAUAACUUGUCAAACCUGGAUACAAAUUUCCCAUCAGAAUUGUUAUUUAUACCAGUUUCUCAGUUAAAACCAGAAGUGUUCUCAAUGCAUAUAUCCUCAUGUUCUUUCUUUGUUAUUAUGGCAUUGAAACAUAGCAUCCUAGAUUUAGUAGAAAUCUCCUGCUUUUUAGAGUAUGUCAUGGUGGUUGCUAGGACCCAGGGCUAUCUGGGUCAUGGUUGGCUUGAGUCUUCUCACAGUGGCUUCCUUAUCUUGGUCCAACAAAGUACCUGUGGCUACAGUCAUUACUUCUUUCAAUGUCCAGUUUUUUGUCUAGCUCCUUAGAUUACUAAUGUAACAUUCUCCUCCACUUGCCUAUCUGGUUGUAGUUCAGAUAUAGGACAAAAUCACUUUCUAGAUUAUGGUAAUAACCAAAAGAUUGCAUGGUCCCUGAUUUCCCAAAGGUCAGUUUUCCCACUGGGAUCACUAUGACUAUGGUGAACUACCGGCACAUUGCCUUGCAUAUGGUAGCUGUCUAAUAAAUGCUUGUUUUUAUCUGUGGUGUAAAGUGAACUGUGCUGGGACCCUAGAACUUGGACCCAAUCCCAUUUUUGCUUCAACAAAGCAUGUGCCUUAGGUCAGUCACUUCCUGUAUGUGGACUACAGUCCCCUCAGCUGUGAAAUAAGGACAUGGGCAGGGAGAUUUAUGAGGUUGCUUUCAGCUUUAUGAGUCUUAGUUUGUGACUGACUAAAUAGGGGAAGAAUUACGGCCAGUCAGUCAGAUGCCACAACUUUGUUUCCAAACCCCAGCUGACUCCAUAGAAGUGCCCUGCCUUGAGUUGGGAAUGGCUGGCCAGUUGCUUUCCUGAGGAUCCCAUGCCAGAAUCUCUAGUCAUGUCCUUUGGGACAUCUGAGGGCAGAGUUUUUUAAACUUAUUCUGUAGCAAUGGAAUUCCCUUCAAAAGAAUAAAGAAUUCAAGCAGACUCUGAUUUACAUGUGAGUAGAAGUCAUGUCAGCACUUAGCUUUUGCCAGGAUGGUGCUGCAUAUAAGAUGGAGGAAUCCUGAAGGUAGAAUCUCAGAAGGUGGUUCAGAAGGUAGUUGGAGUGGUGGAAGAGAGAGAAAUCUUUGGCCUUCCCCCUCCUCAAUACCCCUACCUUAGGUUGUACCUCUAGCCUCACAUUUUUCAACUCACUUCACAGAACAUUUGAAAUCAUCUGCCCUGACCAGAUAAUGGCAAUUUUUUGAUGCUGUGUUACCACACAUGGCAUCCUGUCUUUGAAACUGGGAAUUUGAAAUUUACUUCUCAGAAUCUUCCCUUGAACCUACGAAAAGUGUCCCUUGCCCAAUGUUCUGCUGCUAAGAAAGUUGGAAACCUCUAAGACAUCUGAAAUACCUCAGCUCAAAGGGUCUCUUCUUGAAUCCAGGGAUAUCAAGUCAGAAUCAAAGAGGAACUACUUAUACCUCCAAUUCCUGAUAAAACUACAACCCACAACCCACCAAAACUCACCUAAGAUGAAAUUGAUAACUGGAAUAGUCCUGUUACCCUCAAUAAAACUGGGUUCAUAGUUAAAACCUCUUGAAAAAGGAAACUCCAUAGAUGGUUCCACUGGUAAGUACUAACAUCUAAGAAAGAGUCAGCCCUUAUUUUUUUAUUGAUGCUUGUAGGAUUUGUAAUGGUACUCCCCUUUUUAUUCCUGCUAUUAAUAAAUUGUAUUUUCUGCCUUUUUAAAAAGGCAGUUGGAAAUUCAUUUAAUGUAUUCAGGGUGUGGUCCAUCUUGAUGAUGUUUCAUGUAUACUUUAAAAGCUUUCAUAUUCUGAUUUCGUUGGUUAUAAUGUCUUAUAAAUGUUAGAUUCCAUUUGUUGAUGGUGUUUUUCCCCCCUGGGGCUUACUAGGGGCUUAACAGUUGUUGAUACUUUCAAAGGAUCAGUGUUUGGUUUCAUUGAUUCUUCUUUUCCCCUACUGCUUUUUUCUAUCUACAAUUUCAUUGCUCUCUGUUCUUUCUCAUUCCCCUCCUUCUUCCUUUGAGUGUGUUUUGUUCUUUGUUUUCAGGUGGAGGCUGGAUCAUUAAUUGGAAAUCUUUUGUUUCAAAUAUAAACACUUAGUGUUAUCAAUUUUCUCAUAGGCAUCAUUUUUGUAGGUGUAUUACGUGCAUUUUGAUAUGGCGCAUUUUUAUUAUGUUCAACUCAAAAUAUUUUUAUUACUUGAGGCUUCUCUUUGACCCAUAGAUUAUUUAGAAGUGUAUUAUAUAAUUACAGUUAUUUGGACAUUUUCCUUUUGUCUUUCUGUUGAUAUCUGGUUUAAUUUCAUCAUGACCAGAAAACAUCCUUUGUGUUAUACUGACUCUUCUAAAUUCACUUAAUGUAUUCAGGGUAUGGUCCAUCUUGAUAUUUUUUAAAAAAAAUAUUUAUUUUUUUUAGUUGUAGUUGGACACAAUUCCUUUAUUUUAUUUGUUUAUUUUUAUGUGUUUACAUUUUAUCACUAAGAAGAAUUUAACAAUCUUAUCACCCUGUAGGUCCUUUUGACCUCCUCUUUUUUUAUAAUUAUUUUUUGUGUUACUUCUGUAUACACCAAAACCCUCAUAGAUACAAUUUUUGCUUUCAGUUAAGAGCUCAAGAGAAUAGUUGUUCUCUAUAUAAUAUUUCAGUAAUGAUAGGCCACAUGCAUGAUGAUGGUUGCAUGAGAUUAUAUUGCCUAGUAACAUGGUAGCCAUCCCAUGUUGGGAAGCAUAUUCUUAAUGCCGUUUACAUGAUGAUGAAAUUAUCUUAGACACAUUGUAAGUGAUAUAUGACUUGAUAGAUCUCUAAACCUAGAUAUAUAUCCUUUUUUUUUUUUUUUUGGUUACUAAGGACUGGACCCAGAGGCUCUUAACCACUGACCCACAUCCUCUGUCCAUUUUAUAUUUUAUUCAGAACAUGGCCUCACUAAGCUGCUGAGGCUGGUUUGAACUUGAGACCUCCUGCCUCAGUCUCCCUACUGAGAUUACAGGCUUGUGCCACUGUGUCUGGCAGAUACCUAACAUUUUUGUUUUUCUUUCUUUGUUCCCGAUGUCCCUAGUUUUCUUGUAGCAUCAUUUCCCUUUUGUCUAAAAAGUUUUGUUUGGCCAAUGAGUUAUUUUUCCUUCGUCUGAAGAUAUCUGUAUUUCACCUUCAUUUCUAAAGAAUUUACAACAUGACUAUAGAAUUCUGUAUUACAGUUCUUUUCCUUCGAUACUUUAGAAAUGUGUGCCAUUUCUUUUUGUACGCAAAAAUCUAAAGCUGUCUGAACUUUUGUGUCCCUAGAAGUAAUGUGUCAUUUUCUCUCACUGCUUUCAGGAUUGUUUGCUUCAUUUUUAGUUUGCAGCAUGGUUUUCUUUGGGUUUAUCCUAGAUGAGGUUCAUUCUACUUUUCAGGUUUAUAGGUUUAUAUAGCUUGUGAAAUUUACAAAAAGUUUUCAACUGGUAUUUCAUCAAAUAUUUUUCCUGAACCACACAACACUCCUCUCUUUUCUUCCAGGACACAAGUGGCAGACCUUCUAUUAUUGUCCCUAGAGUCUCUGAGGCUCUGCUUUGUUUUGUUUCAAACCUUUUUCUUUUUGUUACUCUGAUUAGCUAUUUUCUUUUUCCUUUUAGUUGGACAUAAUACCUUAAUUUUAUUAUUUAUUUUUAUAUGGUGUCGAGGAUCGAACCCAGGGCCUCACAGGUAUUAGGCAAGCACUCUGCCACUGAGCUACAACCGUAGCCCCAGAUUGGCUAUUUUCUUUGGAGAGGUAGAAACCUCAUAUCUUCAAAGAGUUUUUUUUUAAAUUUUGGUUAUUUUGUUAUUCAGUUCUAAAAUCUUCAGUAGUACUUCUUUUUAUUUUCCUUGUGCAGAAUUUCUCUUCUUUUAUUGAUUCUAUCUUUGUCAGAUAAUUAAGACCUCUGUCAUUUAGGCACUGGCAUCUGUUGAUUGUCUUUUUCCCCAUGCUGAGUAAUCUUGGAUUCUGUCCUGAAUAUUUUGAAUUUUAUGAGACACCCUAGAUCUUAUUUAAAUCCUAUUAAGAAUGUUGUAUUUUCAUUUGUGUAGGCAUUUGACCUGGUUGAGUUCAGUGAGCAAGUGCCAACUAACUUGUGAUUAUUGGUCCCAAUAUCAGCUGUUACCAGUAUCGCUUGCAUUGUGAGUGCACGCACCUCAUGCUGCUCAAUCUGGAAUCUUAGGGCUUUAGUCCUCAAAGUCUUUGAUAGGCUAUUUAGAAUGAGAUCCAUUCAUGCAAACCUGGGGUGGAGUGAUCCCCAGGUUUGGCCAUUCAUAAAUAUUUUGUGGGGGUCUCUUUCCAAAGCUUCUUUUCUUCCAUCUAUCUAGUACUUUCCAGAUCCAUGAGGAUUCUCUUUUUGGUCACUUAGCCAGAAAAUUUGUUCUUAAGUAUUCUGCUGUGUUGUGUGCUGGCAGUUGUGCACUUGUACUACUGGGUCCAUGUUCCUGGAGCCAAGCAAUUAGAUGACAGAGACAGUUAAACACAAUGGGCCAGUUUCUUGGAACCUCAGCUGCACUGAAUCCAGAGGAAAGUUGGUCUCUUUAACUGUUCAGUUCCUGUAGGCUCCCUUUGCUGCUAAGCUUCCAUCUCUACUGUGGGGUUACUUAGUGACUGUGGCCUGAGAGAACAGAGAAUGGAAAACUGGAGGAUAUCCCCUAGUGUUUCUGAGCAUCAAGAGUUCUCUUUCCUGCUGCAUCUCUUGUUUCUCUCUCUGCCAGCAUCCAGUGUCUGGUAACAGUGUGAUGAGCCCAGGCUUGGGUGCACUGGAGAAAAAAGGAAUGGGGAAAUUAACUCCCAGUUGGUAUUUCAAGUCCUGGUCUUCUCUCUUCAUCUAUCUGCUUCUGUUUACUUUGCAGAGUCCUUGUAUAGCUGCUCCAGGGUUUAUAGUUGCUUGUCGUGAGAUAGGGCAGGUUGCACUGACUCCAUCCUUUGCAGAACCAUAAUCUCCAUGUGUGAUUGUGAAUAUGGAAAAUAGUUUGAGGCUAAACAAUGGGUGUUCUUUUUGUGUCCCUCUCCCCAUCUUGACAUCUUGAGAAAACCAUCCUUAGGACCACAUACAUAUUUUAGAGGAAGAUGGGAUUACUAUAUAUAGCCAAUGAACAUCACUAACUCCACUGGCUGAUGAAAUCAAAACUUGCUUCUUUCUUGACAUCUACAAGUAAAUCAGGAAGUUUUUCUUCAUUCUCAUUCACCUGUUUAUUAAAAUGUAGGGGGUUGGGGGUGCAUCUGACUGGUACAUGCGUAAAACCCUGGGUUCCUCAAAAAUUAAGAUUAAAACAAGAAAGGGCUAUUUCAAAGAGAAGAGUUGGGCAUAUAAGUCAAAGAUUUCUAAAAAUCCUUUUAGUCCAACUUAAAAAGGACCAUGGAAAUAAUGCUUAUGUAAAUCAGAGUCUAGCAGACCCCCUCUCUACUAAAUGAAGAGGCACUUGUAUAAUGAAAAGAGCCUUUUUGUGCAAAUUUUGCAGUGCUGUACUUGGGAUUUUGAAUGUUGAAUGUGCUUAUAAUUCCUAUCAAAGUGAUUACUGUGAUAAUAGUUUAUUAAUAGGUUAGUGAAAAUCAGAGAAGACACUUCUGUAAUAGUGUAUAAAGUGAAAUUGUAAAUGCCUGCCUUAGUAGGCUAAAUGGUUAAAGGUGUUCCCAGGGUUGGGAAUGAUAUUCAAAGACCUGUUGUUCAAGAGGGGUGGGGAGCAGGAAGCUCUGUUGGUGUAAGCAGAGAAUGGAAUGUUUUAGGGAGUGGGGGUUUGUCAUUUCCAGGAGCAGGGCGGGUUGCUCGGUGGGAAGGUCUGGCUCCAGCUUGAGCCCACUCACAGGAUGUCAGGGGGAAGUGUGACUAAGGUCACGGCCACGCCACGUGGUGGGCCAGCUGGAUCCAGAGCAGGGGCCUCUGUGGCCACACAUCCUGAGUUUCCAUGGUCUAAUAUAGUGGGCUUGAAAGAACGGGUGGAUGCAGGAUGCUGGCUGGGUCUAUGCCGUGCGUGGGCAGUAAGUCUUAAGUGACAGUGGGUGGAGAUUACAGCAUUUCAUCUGCUUUUCCUUUGACACCUUUUAAAGAUACAACCCACGGUUUUCAGGGGUUUAUGCCAAUGUCUGCUUAGAGGGAUCUUGCAGUAGAUCUUAAAACCCUUUAGUGUUCUUAAGAACACAGGGAUAAUUUUUCUUUGGGUGCCAUUUAAAACAAAUAUGGAGAGUUAAAAUUAGAUUGGGAAUUUUUGGUGCUGUUCAUAUUCAGCUUAUUAGGGGGUGAUUUUGAAAUCCUUCUUAUAUAAUUUUCAGAUGUUUCAGGAUACAUUACAUUUCUUUUCACUUUUCUUUUGCGAAGGGCUGUUCAGGAUGUUUAGCAGGUUGGGUUUCAGAAUUUCAGCAGCUUUAUGGUGUUGUCAUCCAGUUUGACAGAUUGAAUUUGCACUUACAGGAAAUGGAAUGUAAAAUUGGAAUGUAUUGUACUAAAGGAACAUAGGAGAGGGUAUGUCAGGUUUCAGCUGUGAUUAAUAUUUUGCUGAUGAUCUUUCAACUACAUGGCAUGCUUAAACUCUGCCUCAACUUGAACAAUUUCUAGUAUUUCCUGAUUGUCAAAAACUAAGUCUUAGAAAACGACUCUGAAUUCUCAUCCUUAAUCCAUUUAGGAUUUGAGAAGGUCUCUGGCCAAAAUUUUUAGCUUCUUAAUUUAGAAAGAAAUAUUUCAUUGUGAAAAGCUGUAAAGUCUCUUAGUCUUUUCCCUCCCCCAACUCAUUUUAAAAAGUUUGAAGGAAUGAGGGGAGGGAUGAAAAUCACCAUAGAAACUGGGGUGGGAGGCUGUAAGUACUAUGGGGUAUAGGAGCUGUUAUUAUUAGAUAUCAUUGAAGGCACUGUGUUUUUAAGACUUAGGCCUAGCAAGGAUUCAUUGAAGUAUAUAAAGAAUUUCCUUUAAUGUGCUAAGUGUUUACUUGGUUCAGGUAUUCUUCCUAAAAAUUAAGAAAACAUUCCUCCUAUGGAGAGAGAUGAUAGAAGGAAUCAUAAUCUUUCAUUCUGUUAUUUUAAAUGUAAUCUCAUUUGAAAUAUGUGAGUUCACCUUGGAAGUAAGGUACCUGGAAGGGACAAAUUCCUUAACAGAAAUGGAGAGUGGGAACCAACAUUUCUUGAGUGCUCAUUGUUUCUUUAAUUUUCAGAACUGUUCAUUGAUGUCAAUUUAUGGAUUUUAAAGAUGGGCAGUUUUUAAGUUGGUGAUUUAGGCUUUAAUUGUUGGAUGGGGGUGAUAUAUGUUUGGGGAUUUUUUUUUGAGGGGGGCUAGGGUUUGAACCAGGGACACUUUACCACUGAUCCACAUCCCCAGCUCUUUUUAUUUUUUGAGACAAGUUCCACUGAGUUGAUUAGGGUCUUAGAAAGUUUUUGAGGCUGGCUUUGAACUUGCAGUCCUCAUGCCUCAGUCUUGAGAGACCACUGGGAGUUUAGGAGUUGGGAUUACAGGCACGUGUCACUGCACCCAGCAAUGUUUGGGAAUUGUAAAACAGUGGUCCCCAGUCAGGGGCAAUAUUGUUCUCUGGGCGCACAUUUUCACAGAUGUCUCUGGUUAUUGUGAUUAGAGAACGGAAAUACUACUGGCAUCUGGUGGGUAGAAGACAGAGAUGCUACUGAAAACAUAGUAAUGCACAAGACAACUCCCCUACCCUCCAACAAUGAAUGUUCUGGUCCCAAAGUGAACCACUGAUGAGACCUAGCACCAAUGAUAAAUCAAUAGAAAAGAAAUUAGAACCCAUGUCUUCCCUGUGUGAGAAGGUGAAAGAAAAUUUAGCCUGAUUUCUUCCAUCCCUACAAGUUAGCUAUGCCUAUAUAUUAUUUGUAGACAUCUUAAGAAAUAGGGAAUAGAUUUUACUAACAAUGGAUGUACAUGUGAUUUCAGGAGUUUUUAAAGUUUUCAUUUUUAGGAUAUAUGAAUUUCCCAUGAUGAUAUUUGGUCUUUUUCCACUUCCACUACAACUUUCUGACAUGGAGGUAAUAAUUAGCUAGUAGCCAUUUUGCACAAUGCAUAUUUUGUUCAAAGUAUUAAAUAUCAAGUUCAGGAGUGCUGUGUUCACAAUAUUGAAUUUGUUAAUAAGGGUUAAAAAUGGUGGAGUGGCAAACACUGAAUAUAAUGUCCCACAAUGAUACUGCUUUGUUAGCAUCCAAUGACAUUCUAUAUGGAGUUCUUGCUAACAGUCAAAGUUCUAUUUCUUUAGUUUUUUAGUUGCAGAUGGACACAAUACCUUUAUUUUAUUUCAUGUGUUUUUAUGCGGUGCUGAGUAUUGAAUCCUGUGCCUUGCGUAUGCUAGGCACAUGCUCUACUACUGAGCUACAACCCUAGCCCCUCAAAGUUUAAUUUUUAAGUGUUUAGACUCACUUUGAGUUGCAAAGACCUUAGCAAUUUAGAUCUACCACCCCAACUGUUUCCAUUUUACGGCAUUCCAAGUGGCCACAGAUCUGUAAAAAGGAACCUAACCAUGACAUCUGGUGUAAUAUAUCAUUCCUUAGACAUUUUGAAAGACUUAAAUGUCAGAACAUCAAAACCAAUGAAGAAAUAGUAGAGCUGGUAGGAGAGAAGAAACAUAGAAAGCAGAAAAAGAUAAGGUUUGUGAAGAAUGGUGAGGAGGAGAGAUUCUAAAACAAACCAACAGUGGUUUGUUCUGUGUGCUAGAAAUACUUUUGAGCACCUAGCACAUGAGUGCUUUAGGUAUUGGAGAUACAGUAGAGAGCAAGAUAGGCAAGGAUCAUGCCUUUAUAUAGUACUUAUAUUCAAGAUGAAGGAAAUAUCACCAGAGAAUAUAGUUAGCUUUCCAUAUCCAGGAGUUCUAUAUCCAUAGGUCCAAUCAACCAAGGUUCAAAAAUAUUUGAAAAAGCAAAUUGCAUCUGUACUAAAUGUGUACAUAUUUUUCUCUUGUUAUUCCCUAAAAAUACAGUAUAACCACUAUUUACAUGGUAUUAGCUAUUACACAUCAUUUAGAGAUGAUUUAAAGUAUAAAGGAAGAUGUAUGUAUGUUAUAUACAGAUAUUAUGCCAUUUUAUGUAGGGAACUUGACCUUCCCAGGACUUUGGUAUAUAUAGGGAGAGACUCUGUGACCAAUCCUCCUUGAAUUCUGAUGGAGGACUGUAACUGCUUAUGAAAGGUGAAUGAAAGAUAUAAAGUUGUGAUGUGGGGUUCUCUGUGUUAGGAAUUUUGAGGAAGAUGAUAUAUGAGAGGAGAAAAAGGAUGAGAUUUAGUCAGAACUUCAAGGGGCAGGUAGAGGGAACAGCAAAUAUUUCAGUCUUGGCAGCUGAUUUUAUAAAAUCAAACAUUUUAUCUCAGUCUUGUGAAAAGACCAGAUGUCUGUGUCUUGGUCUUAAUUGUGAUAUGUUGACUAUAAGGGAAAUGAUGUGUGCCCUCUUGAUCAUUUACAGCACCCCACAGUGUUAGGAGGGCAUAAAAUAGUACUAAUGGAGUUAUCAAUGAUAGACAUUGAUAUUCAAUAUUUUAAAAUUCAGUUUUUUUCUCCAUAAUUUAUUUUUUUUUUAAAAUGGUGGAACAUUGGCUCAUAUUUUUCUUAUAUUAACCUUUCAUCUAUUAACUAUGUAAAUUCUACUGAAAAAUAGAAAACAAAUACCUUUUAAAUAAAAUGUUUAAAAAUCAUCUCUUGGUCUGAAAAAGAUUGACAAUAUCUAUUUUCCUUCUACUGAUCUUUUUAACUUCCUGAGGUGGAAGAGUCUACUUUAAAGGGUGGUUAGUGGCUUUUUGUUCUCUUUUUAAUAUUGUUUUCCCUGAAUUUUAAUCUCUCAGAAGGACCUUUAUAUUGUGAUCAAAUUAUGUACUAUAGAAUUUAUUAUCUGUACUAUUUUUAAGUGUUGAUUAUAUAAUAUGCACAUCUUGGUCUGGGGUAUAGCUCAGUGUCAAAGUGCUUGCCUCCCCAGCACAAAGUCCCCAGUUUAAUCCCCAGUACCCAUCCCUUCCUCCCCCCAACAUAUACACAUGUGGUUGUAUACAACUUUGUUUGACCUGGCCCAAAUUAUAAUCUAUCUCUCUGCUUCUGAAGGGGUAGCCCUGAGUGAGGGACUUAACCUCUCGAAACCAAUUUUAUUAACUUAAAGGAGUAAAGCCAGUGUGAGAAGGGAUACAUGAAACAAGAUUAUCAAAGUGCAGGUGAUUUUUGAAGUCAAUUAAAGGUACAUAUGGGGGGUGAUCCUUCUCUAUUUUUGUUUAUGCUUCAAGAGUUUUCAUCAUCAACAUUUUUAAAAGAGGAAGUAGAAAUAGAUAAAGCUAACAUUCUGUACUAGGGCAAAUGUUGGUGUUUUUUAGAAGGGAAGAUUUGAGUAUACUUGAGUAGAAGAUAAAGGGAGUAGAAUGAGUGUUUGAGGAGGGACAUAUACAGAAGUUCCUUACCAGUGGCAAGUAAGUCCUGAUCCACCUAGACCUGGCUUUCAUGAACCCUCCAGUGAAGGAGCUUAUCCUAUACAGCCUGUCCCUUGUUUACCUCCUUUGGCAACAUUUUUUUCCCUUUGCUCUAAAAAUUGGUUCACACCUUCCUUUGUUCUUCAUGUCCACUGGCUAUAUUACCAUCUCUAUAGUCAUGCAUGAACUCAGCACAGGCCUCAAUAAUUUUUUUAGUCUUUGCAAUUCCAGAGUUUAUUCAUUUCUGGGGUACCUUCAUGUUUGCCCUGAAGCUCUGACUUAAGUUCUUCACUUUAGUGGUGAAUGCUUACAUUUAUCCCUCUAUGAAUUUGGAUAGCUGUUUUCUUCCAGUGUGUAGGAUCCACCUAUGAUAGAACUGCUACCUUGUACACUGUAUGCACAGUUCCAUGUAGGGGUCAUAGGGGGUCCUAUAUCUGUUUAGCCUCAAUAGGGUACCAAGAUCUGGGCAUGGAGUCUCUCUGCCUUUCAGAACCUUGGUUCUUACCAAAGAACUGGGAAGAAUUUUUCUGCCAGGUGGCUAGGAGCAUGUUUGGAAUUCCUUUGUCAAAUUGUAUUCCUUUUUUUGUUGUUGUUGUUGUUGUUAUUGUUUGUAGUGCUUGGGAUGGGGCCUAGCAUGCAAGUCAAGUGCUCUACUAUUGAGCUACUUUGUGAGCCCUGAACUUGUGAUUUUGAUUUCUUUUUCUUAAUGAGAUCCAGAGUAAGGUCUUUGAAGAAGGUGAAAGGGAAAAGAGGCCAGAAAGGAUUAGAUUGAGGUCAAGGUAGACAUAAUAGCACAACCAAAGAGGUUGAAAAAUUUUCAUGUGGAGGGUAAUAUGGCACUAUUAAUAGUGACUUGGUGAGUGAUUUACAAGAAGGUUUUUCUUUACUUGGAACCUGCUACUCUGUGCCUCUAAGGUACAGUUCUCUAAUGGAGGAGGGACAAAAGAAGUUGGCUUACAAUUUGCUCUGUAGUCUAAUGCCUGGUCCUGAUAUACUGAUUUAAGAGUUCUGUAUUGAGUGCAUGAUGAUGUUAGACCCUGGGCAAGAUGUUGAGGCUAGUGUAGUAUGAAAGAGAGAUCUAGACCCCUCUCUAAUGUAGAAACUGCCAACUGACUUGUAAGCAUGUUCUCUUUAGUCUACACAGUUAUAAACAUUGAAAUGUUUCUUCUUGAAAAUACUGGGAGAUUCAGCUCCCUGGAAUUGCAUCCACACCAUAGUGAGGAAGGCAGGACAGGGAGAAAGGAUGCUGAGUAGGGCCUGCUGUGGCAAAGAGAGGCACAUGUUCUAUAACCUGCCCUGGGCUUUUUCUCUUUUAUAUUAGUUAUAUUGGUCAUUGGGGGUAUCUUGGUUAGGGUAUCUCCUCCCACCCCAUUUAACAUGUUUUUCUUACCUAUGGGAUGGGGAGCUUGGGUGAGAGCUGGGCUAAGAAGCCAGGUUGGGAUGGGAAGUGGGGUUCCCUACUGCUCUCCCUGCCCAUGGGUGAUACUUCUGUGUAGUGCCUUUUAUCCAGCCCUUUCCCGGGCACUGCUCACAGCUGGUUUUUUGUUCAUCAGGAUUCAAAUUCCAGUUAGAAAGUGGAAGUAGUAGCACCUACUUUUUCUAACUCUUCUAUCCUUGAUCCUUUCAUGUGUGACCCUUGUGUUCUUUUUCAGUUUAUGGAAUCCACCUGGGGCAUCAUUCCUGUGUCUUGCAGGCCCUUCCUGCUGAGUGGGCCCUUUCCUUCCUGCUCAGUUUGGAAAGCAUACCUCAUCUCCCCUUCUUGAAUGCUCUGAAGGUUGGGCACUGUGGGGUUUGAGGCUAGGGGUGGGUAGCAGAGAACAGAGCUGCAAUAGGGACUUUUAAAGCUUCUACCAGAAUGGUUGUGGGGCUUUCUGAUAAUUUUCAUUCGAAGAUAGCAUCACAAAGUUAAGGUAUUGUGUGUACAACUGAUUUUGGAGCCCAUGUGUUCACUUAGAUUAUUCAUUAUCUUCCUAGCUUUAUUUAUAUCCCAUCCCUUUUCUUUCUUUUUUAUGGUGCUCCCCAUGGAACCCAAGGCCUUUUACAUGCUAGGCACUGAGGAGCCACUCCCUCCCCGCCAUCUUUCCUAAUCUUCACACCUAUUCUCUAUAAUUACAUCACAAAUUCAUGAGGGCAAAGACUGUUCAUUGUAUAUCUUCAUUAUCCUCUGCUCAGCCAUGUCACUACAUACCAUAUAAAGUUGAAAAAAAAUAUAUUUUGUGAUUUUAUUUACUAAUUUUAGGUAGUGCAAAGUUUAUAGGUGAUACAUAUUUUAAAUUUGCACACCCCUUGUGAGGGUGCAUCUAUCCCAUGCUGAGACUAAAACGUGUGUAGUUCUGCAAAGUGGAGCUGGAGCUGUCCAUAUCAUCUUGUCUUUGUUUUGCUAAUCUAUCAGUAUCCUUUCAGCUCUCUCUUAAGUCUGGGGAUGAAAGUACAGGGUAGAAGGGUGCAAACAUGGCUAGAACAUCCCUAGGAAGGUAGGGAGGGCCUAGUGUUUUGACAAAGUUGAGGGUGGAGAACACAGUCCUUUCAGAAAUUCCCAGACUCUUCAGUUUAAAAAUGGUACUUAAGGGCUGGUGAUGUAGCUUAGUGGUAGAGUACUUGCCUGGCAUUUGCAAGUCCCUGGGUUUCAUCACUGCAAAGGAAGAGAGAAGGGGAAAGGAAAAAAAAGAUAGACUUUUAACAUUGGGCAGAUUAAGUACCAUUUAGUGGAGACUCCAAAUCUCAGAGCAAGGUGAAAAAUGGCUGGUGUAUUUGCUAGCCCCAUUCCUUGCUGUUUGUUUAAUUUUAGGGCAAUAGAUUUUUCUAGAUUUUUUUUUUAAAACUUUUGGGGGCUCCGUAUAGGAGAUCCCUCAAAACACAAUCAAUCCGUAGAUUGAAAUUUUCUUUGUAACUCAGUAGACAAUGUUUUAUGCCAAUGACCCUCUGAAGUUCCAUAGAAAAACAGGAAACCUUAGAGAUGAAAGGGCCUCAAGGCAAACAUACAAUUUACUUCUAGUCUCUCUGUUAUCCUAAAAUGUGAAUUUUGUAAUGUUAUUUUCACUAUAGUUUUGUUCACCUAUUAAAACAAUUUAAAUAUUUACUUAUGCAAAUUACCUAUUUAUACUCAAAUUUUGUAAUCUAAUUGGUGCCUCAAGGAUAUAGCACAUCCUUAUGCCCUGAUUUUGUGAGUUUCCUACAAAGUCCCUUAUACUAAUUUUUUUUUUUGUGGCCAGUUAAAUCUUAAGGUGAAAAGCUGUGGAAUGAAUUUGACAUAAUUUCCCUCAUACAUGUAUGCAAACAACAUAGUGAAUCCCACCAUCAUGUACAUCCAUAAGAAUGGGACUCUACGUAGAAUAACAUAUAUUCUAUACUUGUAUAAUUGUGCCAAAAGGGAUUCUGCUCUCAUGUAUAACUAAAAAGAACCAAUAAAAAAUUUUUAAAGUGGGUGAAGAAUUAUGAGUUUAUAAUGGAUGCACAUAACAAUCAAUUUAGUCUUCCUCAUAAGUUACAUAAUAGGUAUUAUUGGCUACCUUCAUUUUAGAGACAGAAAACAGCACAGAGGUUAAGUCAUUUGCCCAAAAAUAUGCAGUUUGUAAAUGGUGGACUUGGGAUUUGACCCCAGGUAGUCUGUAUUCUUCAAUUCAUUGUACUUUCUUUCCUCUGGGAUACACUAAUUACAGUAGCCAAUUGAUUUAUUUUUUUUUUUGGUCACCAAGAACAAUCUAAGAAUUUUUGUGCUGCUUUUCAUGGUCACCUGGCAAAUGACAUUUUUUCAAUAAAUGAUUAUUUCAUGUGCAGAUAAUUACUUCAUUUGGGGCUUGAGUUGCUCAGUGAUAGUCUGAUGUCCUCAAUUUUUAAGAACUUAAGUCAGCCUCUGUUGUGUGGUCACAGAUAGACUGUUCCUGGUGCUGUUAAGUUGCCAUCUUCUAAGAGGUAUCCUGAUUGGCAUCACCAACAGAGAAAUACUCAGUCUGAAGUUUGUCUUGUAAUUCCAGGUGAUAGAUAGGCAUACGCCAUGUAGAUGGAUGUUUUUAAACAAUGUUACUAAGAUACAAAGGGUACAUACACUGUAACUGUUGUAGUGGCUUUGUAGUAUUAGCAUUAAUAGUUUUUUGGGGGGUAUUGAGAUUGAACCCAGGGGUGCUCUACCACCAAGCUAUAUCCCCACCCCCCAUUUUUUUUUUUUUAUUGUGAGACAUGUCUUGCUCAGUUGCCCAGGCUGGCCUUGAACUUUUGAUCUUCCUGUCUGAGCCUCCCAAGUUGCUGGGAUUACAGGGGAGCACCAUUGUGGCAGACUGUAUUGAUGCACUUUGCUUAGAGUGCAUUGUUGUUUCUUAGCUGUGCAAACAAAAAGUAAGCACCAUUUAUCACUCAUAACUCUGUUGAUGCUUGUGGUUUCCUAUUUGCCAGAUAUUUCAAUUUAUAGCUACAGGUCACUCUGGGUAACAUAAACAAUAAAGUGUUUCUGUUUCUUAGUUACUUUUAAAAAGCUGGACUGGGGCUUAGUAUAUCCAAUGUGGUAGCAGCAAUAAUGUCACAGAGAAGAAUAAAGUAAUCCAUGUCUUAAGAGAAGGUCUUAAGGGGCUGGGGUUGUGGCUCAGUGGUAGAGCGCUUGCCUAGCACAUGUGAGGCCCUGGGUUCGAUCCUCAGCACCACAUAAAAAUAAAUAAAGUUAUAUAUAUAAAAGAGAAGGUCUUAAACACACAUCAUGUGGAAAUUAGGCACAAUUUGAAGAAAACUUCCUGGUUGUCCUACUUGUGAGUCUACUGGCACCCUCUGUAGGUGCUUGUAAAUUACUUUCCUAUACUGCCCCAUUGGAGGCCAGCCUCUCUGGUGUACUGGAUGCCAUCAUUUGCCAGUGAGGUCCCUGCAGUUAUCUAUAUGUUCCCUGGUGUCAUCUGUUCUACCACCCACAUCCCCUUCAAGCCAGUGUGCUAUUUCUCUUGGAAAGAAUUAUCUCUGUGUACUGCCGCACCUACCUCUCCUCCCAUACUCUACAGGCCUCACUCCACUGAAGCUUUCUGUUCUCUUUCUUCGUUCAGAAUGGCCCUGGCAGGAGAGCCUAGGAGCUUUACAUUUUUCAAUUCAGUGUUAAGUCCCUGGUCCGUGGCUCAUUCAGCCUGACAGCAAGAUCUGACCCAGGUAAUCAUGUCCUCUUUAAAUAAUUUUCUUUACUUGGUCUCCUGAUGCCACAUUUGGUGUUCUGCCUACCACCUAUUGGGAGGGUGUUCCUUGUCAGUCUCCUUGGUUGAUCUUCCUGUUACUUCAACCUAGAGUUUCAGUUUGAAAUGCCACCUGAAUGAACACUGAUGCUGAUGAUUUCAUCUCAUAACUUGGCUCAAUUUCAACUGCCCUUUCAGCAUCUUUCCUAAUUGGCAUCUCAAAUCUAGCAUGUCUAUAUCUUCAUUUCCCUCUAUGCAUCUCCCUGCUCCUGCCAUACCCUGCCUACCCUAGUUAUGUAGUAUGUCUACUUCUGACAGGCCACUGUCAUGCUUCAUCUGGAUUAAUCAACUUGAGUCCCCUGUUUAAUUCUCACUUUUGGAGUCAUCCUCUGCUGUAGUAUGAAUCUGGAUGUCCCCCCAAAAGCCCAUGUAUUAGAGGCUUGGUUCCCAACUGGUGGCAGUUUUUAGGGGGUUGUGGAAACUUAAGAAGUAGGGUUUAGAGGGAGGACAAUCUUUGGGUCACUGAACCCUUGAAGGAGAUUGUGGACUCCCCUUUCCUUUUUCUUAUGUUCUCUUCCUGUUCAUAUGGUGAGUGAUUUUACUCUACCACAGCUUCUUCAGUGUUAUGCUACCACAGGCCUAAAGCAGAGGGUUCAACCAACCCAAAAUGAAUGGAAACCUCAAAGUGUGAGCUGGAAGUAAACUUUCUGUAAGUUGAUUAUGUCAGGUAUUUUGUUACAGUAAUAGAAAGCUGUCUAUUACUCCCUCCAAAGAUCUUUAGAUCAUUCCACUCUCCUGAUCAGAAGCUUCAUGGUUUUCUAUUUCUCAGAAUAAAGACCCAUAGCCUGUGUAAAGACAGUGAAUAAACUCUGAAACUGCAUGUGAUCUGCCCUCCCCAUUGCCUUCCAAGCGUAAUCAAACUCAUCUCUUUCUCUCUCUCUUUUUUUUAUUUUAGUUGUAGAUGGACACAACACCUUUAUUUUAUUGAUUUAUUUUUAUGUGGUGCUGAUAAUAGAACCCAGUGCCUCACACUGGUAAAGUGGUAGGCAAGUGCGCUACUGUGGAACCACAACGCCAGCCCCAUCCCUCUCUUCCUUCUCCCUUGAUUGUUCUGCCUUGAUGACACUAGACUUUUUACUGUCCAUAUAGUCAAUCAGGCACAUUCAACUCAGUGUUCCUGCGCAGUUCUUUCUGCCUUGCCACCCUCAUUUGUUUCCCAGAUAUUUAUGGAAGCAAGCACUUCUGUGGCUAUUUGGUAAGAGAUCAUCCUUCACUAGUCAAUGGUAAAGAAAACAAAAGCCACCUCGCCACUACCCUUGUUUGCACCCUGGGAUUGUCUGCCUUCUCUAUUCUGUCUGAGCACUCAUUACCAGCUAGUGUAGUCUGCACUUAUUUGAUUGUAUUUCUUUCCCUGCCCAACUGGAAACUCCAUUAGAUCAGAGACUAUCUCUUGUUCAUUUCAGUAUCCUCCCUGAACCUAGCACAGUGAUUUUUUGAAUGAAUGACUGAAUUUCUUGAGCACAGUGGUGAGGAAUAAAUUAUAGAAAAUACACAUUUCCUGUAAUCUAUUCCUGGAAGAGAACCAUUGGCAUUUAUGACAUAUCAUGUAUUCUAAGACACUCAUUCUUUCCAUCCCUUUGGUAAUUUGAUCAUUGCUGAAAUUGGGAUGAAUGUCUGAAUGGAUUGGGCCUCUCAGUUGCCACCUCCCUGGCAAUCGUCAUGAUGCAAUUGCUGUUGCCCAUGCAUCCACAUAGUUGGCCUUAGGUGUUCACAAGGUGAACAGUUUGAGUUCUUUGUAUUGUUGGAUCUACAUACAGAGUGUACCUGCCAUUUGUUAUGCUCUCAAUAAAAUUACUCUUUGAAGUGCAUGUUUAUUGACAUUGAAACAAUGUUGUUGUGUAUAUAGAAAGGCAUGACAACAGCAAAGGAGUUAAGUUGGUGUUAGUGAAGCAAAUGUUUGUUAUUGGAAAUGAAUGAAAUUCUACCUUCAAAGCAACACCUAAAAAGAAGUAGCUGUGUUACGUUUUGUAUGACAAGCAGUACAACUGAAGGCAGAAGAAAUUGCCAAAAUACCCCAGAAGAAACUUCGCUAAACUAGUUGGACUGUGACCCAAGACUGUCUUUAAGACUUUAUAUCAGUUAAUUGUUUAAAUUUGUUUCUUUCCCGGUGGUGUCUAAAAUAAUGGAGAGUCUUAAGAUCAGUACAGUGUUUCAGCUGGGAUAGAAUAGUAUGGGGUUCUGUUCCUGAUCUUAGAAUUGGAAGACUAAUUUAUAAAUCUUAAUUUUGUUAUUUAGAGUUACUAGUUUGCAUUUAAGUUUCUAAGAUAAUGAAUAUAACUUGGCUAGACAUUUGUUUUAGACUCCUUUGAUUUCUCAAAGAAAUGUCUUUCUCCAGUAUUUAGUGGAGAACUGGCAGGAUUGGGACUAAUUAUCUAGUACUGAGAUUUGACUUUUCAUUUGUUGUAAUUAGUUUGAGGAUAACUUUUUGAGACAGUUGGCAACUUUUGCUUAAUAACUUUUGAAAUAAUUAUAGGCUCCUUAGAAGUCAUAAAAAUAGUACAGAGUGGUCUCAGGUAUCCAUCAGCCAGUUUCCUCCUGUGGCGACAUCUUGCACAAAUAUAGCGCACUUGCAGUUUUUAAUAUACCAUCUAGGAAUAGAGAGAAAAGGUAUUUUUGUCAUAAAGCCAGACACGGGUUGCCAGAUCAGAGACAUAGGUGUUAUAGAGGGACUCAUACAUUGAUUGCCAUGACAUGGAAGAAAUAAUCACCUUGGUUAAAACAUUUUGGCAGCUGGGAUUGUAGCUCAGUGGUAGUGCUUGCCUAGCAUGUGUGAGCCACUGGGUUCAAUCCUGGACACCAAAUAAAAAUAAGGAAAUAAAAUAAAUAAAGGUAUUGUGACCAUCUGCAACCAAAAAUAUUUUUUAAAAAUUAAAAAAAAAAAAAAACAAUCCCACAUUUUCAAGAAUUAAUUUGUGUCCUAAAACUCCUUGAUGGCCUUGUUUUUGCUUUAGCAUGACUUGCUUUUGAAGAAAUCAUUUUAGCAUGAUUUAAAAUGCUCUUUGAGAAACUUGAAAUACAGAUCAACAGAUAUUUCUAGAAUUGCACUUGGAAGGGAUGUGAGGUUAACCACUCAUUGGGUUGCCCCCACCCCAUUGCCCUGCCAGGUCUCUAGCCCAGAAUUUUUCUCACACCUUUCUCAGCUUAGGGUGUCAGUCCAGUUUCCACACGAUAGGAUUUUCUUCCUGUUUUCAGGCACAAACACACCCCUCUCCAUUUUACUUAUUAUCUUCCCAUAGGCUGCAGUUUUUUUUUUUUUUUUUUUAAAUGAUGACUUGGCCAUGUCUUGGAGAGUGUAAUGAUGGAUCCUACAAAUUCAGGAGUGAAUUGAGAGGUCUGGCUGGUGUGGGAAAACUAUGAAAGCAGGGACUUGGUAGGCAUAAGAUUGGAAGCUGAAGCUCAUUAUUAAAGUCAAACAUUCUUCAUAUGAGAUAGUACCUUCCUUUUCUCGUUUCUUUUAUUUCUCUUUAUUUAUUCCCUUUCACUUUUGGACACUCUGUAUUUUCUUCUAUUCCAGGAGGUCUGACUUCCAGAGUGUGGUCUGUAUUGUGAGGAGUCCUCAUCUACUUAUGUCCACAGUCUGAAUACUACUGCUUCCUCUGACUUAAUCACCUCCCAACCAAGGUCACCUACCACCUUCCUAUCCUUCCCAACCACUGUCCUUGCUCAGGAAUGAACCGUAGAAAACUUUUGUAGGAAAAGGGAAAAGUGCCUCCUGUGAUCAGGAACAAAGACAUUUUAUUAUCAGAUUUAUCAAGAUGCGAAGAGGGAGUUUUCGCAAACGGAAGCUGGAGCAUUCUGUCACCAGGAAAGACUGCUUUAUCCAGAAUUGGUAAGUGAAAAGUGGCAUUGCUCCCUAAUAGAUCUCAUAUGGUGUGUGUGGGAAUUGCAAAAUUGUUCACAGACCCCUAACAACUAUGUACAGCAGAGCACACAUAAACAGAAGGAGGAGUUUUAAAAGCAGCAGCCCAGCAAUAUAGCAUAAAGGCUUAGAAAAGGCCAGGCAAUUAACAAAAACAAGCUGAGUGUUCCUAGUUUGAACAGACAUAUAUAAUAAAACUAGAUUUUGCUAACCGCCCCCACCCCCUUUUGUGGCAGGGGGAGCAUAAAGUCAAAAUGGGCUGUUUGAGUUGUGGCAUUAAUUGCCAUGGAUAUAGACUUCCAUUUAGUUUGAAUAGUACAUAUAGAAUUUGAAGGAAUGCCUUCAGAAUAGCCCUCCUUUCCCAUUCUGGGGUAUCAAAUAUUUAUUUCAUUAGAAUUUUACAAAUUCAAAGUUGAAGUGGUGUAUCAGAAACAUCUCCUGAUUGUGAAGGGCAGGUUAUGAUGGUAACAGGGUUGGCCCUGUGGGGUUUUUUUUUUUUUUUUUUUUUUGCAUUCGUGUCAUAGGUUUUAAGAUUGUUCUAUUUGCUUACAUUAGUACAGCAGAGGAUGGUUAUUUUUCUGUAUGGUCGAAUGUUGCAUAUGAGCUGCUCCUAUGUUUUUAGGUUUCCAGGAAAAUAUAAUAAAGCUUUGAAUAUCUGUGUUUAUAUUAUAGGUUCUUAUUCAUGAACUAUAAGAAAACAACGAUUUUUUUUAUUAGGCAUGAAUGUCUGAUUGCCUGAUUUGGCUUCUUAAGAAUGAUUGUACCAAAAAGAUUGUACCAAAAAGUGAAUAAGAACAUUAGAAUGGUGGGUGCCACCUCAUUUUACCAGUUUCUUAUUGGUCACUAGAUGUAAUCAUGUGAUAUCUACUUAACAUAGAAUCAGAUGGAAAAAAUAUUUUAUCUUUAAACUGCUAGCAAUUACAUAUACAAUUAUGGUAGUCUCCGUUUGUGAAUGUGAAUACAUAUAAUUAAAAUUACAGAGUUAUAUGUUUUGGAUUAUCUAGGAUGUAAAGUAUUUAUUUAUUUUUAAGCACCUUAUGCCAAACUCAAAGUUGAUACAACCUUUCUGACUUUUGGUUUCCAUUCUGUUACUUCUUAAAUUGAAAGGGAUAGCAGUUUUUGUCAUCAGUGAAGUGACAUGAAGGUGCAAGAGAGGAAGAUGAAUCUAUUCACUGCCCUUUUUUCCCUUUUAUAUACUUUGAGGAUUUUAAAGAUCAUUUUUCUCACACUAAUAGCUCUCAAGACUUCUAUUUAUAUAUUUGUUUUCAACAAAAUAAAUAAAAAGACAAGAUAACCAUGACUGUGAAGGGAAGUUCCCCCAAUAAAUCAGAGAAUUGGUGAUGCAAACUUGUGCAUAUCACAAGUCAUUUGACUGAAUUAAGGUGUGGGCCCAGUUUCCCUAAAUCACAUGAAUUUAUAGGUUUUGGAGUCUUUGAGACAGAAAAAUGGUGACAAAGCAUAAAAGUUUUCCCAGAUAAUUUAUAUUCUAUUGCUACUGUGUGUUCAGUGUCUCAAAAUUGUUUUCAAUUUUGUAUUUCAUGUAAAUACAUGCCAGUUUAAUAAUCUGGCUAAAUAUUGUCCUGUUUGAUGAAAAAAAAGCCUCUAUAAAUAUUGUAGGUUUUCCUUAUCCAUUUAGAAGCCAUUGUCUUGAGUUUUGUAUAUAAAAGUGUGAUGGAAGUUCAUUGGACAGUAAAGGAUAGAAAGUAUAUAUCAAAAGAAUUAUUUGAGAACUUCAUGUUUUUAAUUUUAUUUGCCAAUCUCUGUUCUCAUUUUUCUUUUUAUUUUUUAAAAGUAUAUCUAAAAUGAAUGACAUAGCAUUGCCCUCAAUUCUCCCCCAGGAGACAUUAAUGACCUGCAUAUGUCUUUGUGGGCAUGUAAAACAACAAAGUAAAGGGAAUCGGGACCAACUUCAAAAUAAUUUCUCUCAAAUAGUCUUUGAGUCUUGCGUAUUCAGGAAUAAAAAUGCUUUUCCUUUUGGGCUUUUUAAUUUUUUCAUAAGCUGGGGUGAUAUAUAGUUCUGCCCAAAUAAAUUCUUCUUUGAGGGGGUUGUGUGUGUGUAUCUCUCUCUCUAGACUUUUUUUUUUUUUUUUUUUAAUUUAAAGGGGGAACUUUGUAAUCACCAGCGAAACAAGUGCCUGUUUGUUGGAACCCAGAUAAGCCUCACAGUGUUGUUCCUAUGACAACUGAGUAGUUGGGUGUUGAAAUGUAGCUUUAAGUUCUCGGUUUGGAAAUGUCAUUGAGACCUCCCACUACAGUCUCAUUGAGUAGGAGGAUAAUGAGAAGGGGAAAAACCAUGAAGCAACAUAAGCAUCUCCAUUCGUUUCAUGUCUUCCCGACUUGUCUUUGUGUACAGGAUCACCAUGGGAGUGGUAAACAUAGGUCUGGAACAAAGCAAUACCUCGGUAUAAAAAUCAAUGGGAAGGGGUCAGAGAAGUUGAGGAAGAUAAAUAACAACAUAUGGGGGCAAUAAAGAGGCAGGAGAAGGCAACUUCCAUGGGUUUGUGCAAAUCUUUUAUUCAGUACUGACCAGCAGUGAGAACAUCUUGAACCAUUUAUUGUAUAGCUCUUCAAGAGCUGCAAAUACUUCCUUAAAAUGCAAUGUGGAGAAAAUUCCUUUGGUAGCAGCAGGAUGGUUUGCCACUUUGGCAUAACAUUUACUCACCUCCCCUAGGAUGACUACAAGGGGGCACUGUGUUCUUGCAAGACACAUGUUUUUAAACCAGUUGUUCAUUUGUCAUUCAAUAGCUUUUGUCUUCUUGUGGGAAAGACAAGGUUGUACUACUAAAAAUUUAUUUUAUCCUAAUCAAAAAUUACUUGUGGGAAGAAGCCCUUUUUGAGUUGGUUGACUGAAGAUCUGUAGAAUACUGUAUUUGAGGGGAGGGCUUGUUUAGACCAAUAUGUGGCAUAGAUUAAUUAUGCAGUGGUGGAUUUUCAUGUCUGAAGGACUUCCUAUUUUCUGCCUCUAAAGAUUUUGGCAGUUUAUUUUGUCACCUGCACCACCAGAAGUUAGUAAGAAAAAGAUCUCAGUGGGUUUUGCCCCUUUAAUAAUAUGUGCCCACCAUUUCUUCUGAAAUCCAAAAAGUUUUGAAAAUUUUAAAAAAGGACAGCAAACCUAAACUUACCAGGGCUAGUUGUAGUCUUUUUUUUAGCCUAGUAAAUAUGAGUCUUCUUGUGUUUUCUCAUAGAAAUAUUAAUGUGUUUGAAUAUGGAAUACUAUAUCAGAUCCCCCUGGAGUUACACAUAUAGAGAAUAUUUACCUUCUACCCUUAUAUAAUAAUCAAUCUUGAGUGACAGAUAGUUUUGUGGCCCUCCAACAACUAAUGUACAUUGGGUUCAAUAUUAUCUGUUGGGCACUGUUCUAAAUUUAUCUUUUAAUAAUAUAAUAUCACUGGUGUCUGGAACAGUGCCUAGCACAUAGUAGAUACUCAGUAGAUGUAUUUUGCUGUAAAAUGCUCUUAGUGUAUUAAAUUGAAACAAAACAAAACAAAAAAAUAUCCUUAACAUGAUUGGUAGUCCAAUUUUACUUGGAGAAACCAAUAAACAGAGAGGGGAAGCAAAUUACCCAAAGUAACACAGGCAGGAAGUAAUGGAGCCAAGGUUUGGAAGCAAGCAGUCUGGCUGCAUUCUGCUCUUAAUGAUUCCGUUUCAGAUUUGAGAGAGGCCUGAAGUCCUGGCACUGGAUCCCUUGACUGAGUCAGAGGGGUGUUUCUCAGCUGGUUCCUUUAUUCCUGGUCACACUGUGCAUGGUGUUAUCAGAAUGAUGGUAUCACCUCUGUGGUCAUUACUAGAGUCCUGUGUGGAAUGCUUAGAACAGGUCUUCCUGGGUGGAGGUGUGGGAGUUCUAGGGAUCCGAACUCCUUCAAUGAAAUCAACCUGACUGGCUUUUAAAAGUAAGACACAGGAAAUAAUUCUUCCGUUAACCCCCAUGGAAUUUUCUUGCAUAGUUGAAAAUGUCUUUUUGUAGACAAUGUCUGAGCCCUUUCUCCAGCAGGAGGUCUUGGCUCUGGUGAGGGCAUUGGUUGCCUUGGAAGGGGAUCAUUCUUCAGCAAGGGACUUGAACUGGGAGAUAGUAAGGGCCCUUGGAGGAAAUUGGGCAGCCCAUGAAAAUUUAGCUUCACGACUCUCUGAAUCCACAAAAGGAUACUUUUAACAUUACUUCUCAAAAAAGUAAAGUGUCUCUGUAGUCCCCACAUGUUAAAAAAUAAACUCCAAAUUGAUAUAUACCUCUUAGAUUUACCCUCUAAUUCCCUAUUCAUCUUCCCUGCUUAAUAUUUCUUCUUACCUCUUGUGUCUUUCUGACAUUGUAUAUUUUACUUAUUUGUUUGACAUUUUAGUCAAAUACCAGUAGUAUUUUUAUCUUUGAACAAAUUCAAAGGUCCUAGAUGUACUUCUUUGAUCUCUAUCUUCAAACUCAUUCCCUCCUGUGAAUUUCAGACAGGUAUACAUAAUGAAAAAUUUUCUGCCCACUGGAUUUUCCUUGCUGUUAUUUUAUAUUCAUAGCUUUGAAAACUUAUUUUUUUUUCUAGUCAGAAUUAGGAGAAUGGAUAUCUAUAUUCAGGAAGGGAGACAGAAUCAAAUUUGGAUAUAAUUAUUUCAUAUUUUAAAAGUCAGAAAUGAAUUCAUUAGUAUUUGUGUUAUUUGCCUCAGGAAGAUUUUAAAUUAUUAAAAGAACAAGCAAGACAAAAACUUAAGAUAAUUUUAUGAAUGACCUUCAUUUUAGAUAGAAGUGGAGAACUAGCAAAAUACUUCCCUUUUUCUUUGAAAAAGAAAGAUCAGUGUAAAACAAUCGUUCAAAAUAUUAAAGAAUGUGAUUUAAUUUUGGACAUUUCUUGGCUCAAGUUUUUAAAAUUCUCAACUGUAACCUAUUAUCUUUCAAUGCUAUAUUUAUUCUAAUUUAUACAUUCCAAAGUAUUUAGGAUAAUCUAAAACAUAAAGUAAAACACACACACAUUAUUAACUGUAAACAAUGUGGUUAUACAAAUACAUCAUUAUAGUUAAUUUGCUUUCUUUAGAUAAUUUUUUAAAGGAGCAGUUUAGAUACAUAUAAAAGUUGAAUUUAAUAUGCUUUUAUAAGUCAGUACAACAAUUGAAUCACUGUUUUUCUUAGCUGUAGUAAAUAGCAAAAUAAACUCUUUUAAAUGGUCAAUCUAAUUAAGUGAAAGCUUGCUCUUUAAAAUAAGCAAUGAAACUAGUUAUUUUAAGGUAGAGGGUGGAGUCACUGAUUAUGAAGAGCAAGCUAAGGUUUUAGGCCUCUCCCCAUUCUGCCAAGGAAGAGUUUAAUUAAUUUCUCUGAGGUGUGCCUGUUGUAGAAAGGCUAUUGCUGGUGCUCUUAUCAGAAUCCUCCUACAUUUCCUAAAUAGGAAAUGUAGAAGAGAUUUUUUUAAAUGACUUUUCUCAAUUAUCACAUGUAUACUAGAGUUCUUAACAUUGAGAAAUGGAGUGAAUUUUUGAAGGCCCAGGAAAACUUUUACAGGGAGCUCUCACAGUUCUGAUUGCCUAGGGGGAAAAAAUUCCCCAAACCUCUAGACAUUUUCUCUAGACAUUUUCCAAUGAGUAUCAAGCAUGUGACAUUGGUUCUCACAGUCCCCAUCAAAGGUACCUGUUCACAGAAUCCAUGGAAGUGUUUAUUCCAUAAGAGGCACAGUCUUCGCACAGAAGCAGACUUGUGCCUGAAGUUCACUUUGCCCCUUGCUAGCUGAUGAGUAAAUAAGUCCAUUUGUUUUCCUAAGCCCUAGAAUAUGGAGCUUCAGAACUAGUGCAUGGUGUGGUUGUGUAAGGCCACACAUGUUGAGGAACCUGGUGUUCAGCACCAAAUCCUUUCAAUUUAGUCCCAAGGCCUAUGGAUCCAUGCUAAAUCACAACCCUUUUCAUAUCAGAUUGAGCAUAAUAGAGAUAAAGAUGAUAGCUGCCAUUUGUCACAUACCUUCUGUGAUCUAGGGUAGACACUAUUGAUUAUACUCCACCUGCAUUGACCCAUUUAGUCUUCAGGGCAACCUACUGAACAAUUAUCUUACCCAUUUUAUAGACAAGGACACCGAGGAACGGAAAAGUAAAGGAACUUCGUUGGGGUCACUUAUCUGUUAUAGAAACAGAAUCUAAAUCCAAACAGGCUAUUGAGAGUUGAAAUAGUAAGUACAUAAAAGUAGAGUAAAAAAUCGACUGAACCCGAAAGUCUCAGGAGUGGCCUUCUGAUUUCUAGUCUUGUAAAGUGUCACAUCUUUCAGUCAUGGCUCUCUGAAUAUCGAAAUACAAAAUUGACUUUUUCUGCCCCUUAUUUUACAAAUCAAUGGGAACAGUCUUAGUCAUUUGUGCUUUAUGAGUUUUAAUUAGGUCACUGGAGUCUAGGAGGGGAAUUCCUUGUUUUCAGUUGAUCUCAUGCACUAACAAAUUUACUCAUGUAACUUCCCCUAUUUUUUCCUCUAAUGUUUUCACUUGAAAGUGGGGGUGGAAGGGAGGAAUAUGUGAGCAUUUGGGCCUUAGUGAUGCACUUUGUAGCCUUUCUAAAGAUUCAUUCUUCUAUCUGGUAUAGAUUUAAUUCAUAGAACAAGUAAACUGAGUAAGCAUAUGUAUUUACUGAUAUUUUUCUUCCUUAUUGUCAUCUAGUUCUGGGUGCUUUCUACAAGGCCAUGACUUAUAAGAAGGUGUCUGUGCCCAUAAAACCUUGUGGUUGAGUAAAGAGUUAAUUUUCAUUAUAUGGGGAAGAGUUUCACAUCAACAGUUUCCGACUAAUCUUAAGUAUAGUUUGAGAAUUUGACUUGGAACGUAAGAGCAGCCCAUGGGUUCAAAAUGCUUGGAAAUCUCUGGAAAAAAUAUCCCUGAGCUGAGGUAAGCUUGCCCACCCAUAGGAGCAUAUACCAAUCCUGCCUGCAUUCAUUCUUUCACUUAUUUAUUCAUUCAUUCUUUCAUCCAUACUUUCCCAUAACUCUUUCAACACCUACCUGUAGGACCCUGUUGGCCAUAGUGAGAAACUGCUGGAAGGUAGGAAAUGAGAACUAGAAUGAAGGGAGUAUGGUAUUCCAAGGAUUCAGGUGAUUUGUUUGGGGUUUCCAGAGACUUGGAUCCCCUGUACCUCAUAACCAAAGUUGAUGUGAGUUGGGUUGGGUUUUCUGUUGGUAAAAUGCCACUUUUGUAGUUGAAAUUAUUAAAAAAAAAGCUUGGUGAAUAAAGAUAAAGUUGAGCUAUUUGAAGCACAAAUCUAGGCAAGGAGCUCAAAGUGGGUAAUUGUUUCUACCACAUGUACUCGGAUAUGAGGUACCUGAAGUAUCUAGUGAUGGAGUAUUUUGGUUAUAUUUUUAUUUGCCAAAAAUUUGUUUUCCGUGGGGCAUGCAUGCCUUUGCUGGUUUUUCACUUGCUCAUAAACUGUUUAGAAUGUUAAACUGCUUGGAUUUUUAUCUUUGAAGGCAGAAAGGGACUGUGGAACAGUAAAAACACUUGGCCAGUUGGGAAGCAUGGGAUUAUAAGUAUAUUGUUCCUUUAAAAGCUAUGUUAAAAACCUAUUUGCAGUUUCUUGAAGGUAGAGUUGAUUGCCAUAAAGUGAUCACAGCCCCUUGCCACUAUCUUAUUUUCACAAUCUGAUAUUAAAACUGCUACUUUACAUGUGGUUUCUGUCAUCUUGGAUUUUGAAUGUUAAGAGACAUGUCUUGGAAGAACAGGCGCGCGCGCACACACACACACACACACGCACGCACACACACACCCCAUUCUAUAAACAACUGGGGCCAUGACCAGGCCUGACCACAUAUGGGGCUCUAUAGCUAUUUGUGUUGUCCAGGUCUUCCUUACCAAUACCCCAUGAGCCUUUAGACCUACUUAUGUAUCAUACCAUCUGUCCUGAUGUGUUUUACUCCUUAUUGUUCCAUUUAGUUAACCUUCAUAUUCUUUUUAAGCAAGGCACCCACCUGCAGAAAAAGAGUUAUUGGUUUUGUCAUUUAUAGUCUAGUUCAACUGGACCGGAUUUCCUCACCGCCUCUGGCUGAAACUGACUGACUGAAUCAGUUUCACUUGUGGGAAGGAGAAAUGAUGGCUUGGAGGGCUUCAGGAACAGAGAAUGUGAUGUGUAGGAAGGUCUAGUUAGUUUUUUUACAUCCUCCCAGCAAGGCAUGAAUUGUGUAUUGAGAGAGUACAAGAGAGUGGGGACAUUAUGAGGAAAUUAAGCUCCUUGGUCGGGCCACAUUGGGAGUAGAGAGAGAAAGAUGGGAGAAAUUGGACAGGAGAGAGUGUAGGGGAUCCCCAGGGAAUCCAGGGCUAAUUUCUGGUCCUAAUCUCAGGAGUCCAGGACAUUGUCCAUUCCUGCUUACGUCUUGCAAGACAAAUAGCAUGCUUGGAGUUCAGGAAUGGACUCUGAAGACACUAUCUUCUGCAAACUCUUCUGUGUACAUCUCUCUGUCUCAAAUCUACUUUUAGGUGUGAUAUAUAAAGACAGACAUUAAGUUUUCCUUUCCACCAACUUCUGACUUGUCCUUAGGGCCUGUGGGCAACAUGUGCUUUGUCCUUGAAGUAGCAUACUCUGCUAGGUUCUUCCUCUAAGGCCAACCACAGUCUUGGUCUCCUAGGUCUUGAGCCAUUUUUCCUCCUGUGCCCCAGGAUUUUCCCCUUUACUCCCCCAUAUAUUUGACAACUCGCUGUCUGUGUUCUCAGCCCUUGAUAUUUCUUCAUUUGACUUGAAUCUCUUUUGAAACAAUUAUGUGGUGGCUGGGCACAGCAAAAUGAGUCAGUUCCUGCAGUUCAGUUACAAGUUCUCAAAAAGUAUUUCAGAAUGUGGAUGUGGUCAGCAGAGUCAUUUUCCAGGCAUCUAAAAGGAAACCCACAUCAACUGUAACAAUUGAGCUUCGAACCAAUGGCUCUAUAUAACAGAUGGCUCCAUCCAACAGAACCAGGCCUGCUUUUCCUCAAAGCAAAGCCUGCAGCUGUCUUUGCUAUAGGUCUUAUAGGGGAAUUGGUCCUCAGGUUUGCAAAUCACAUUUUAUCUGCUACUGCUUACACAAACAAUGAGAGUUUUUUAAAAGUUUGUCUUGUAUUAUUAUUAUUGGUGUGUAUUAAUUGUAGAAAAUAAUGAGUUUCCUAAUUAUCCACCUAAAUUUCAAAAAGUGGAUGCUGUUUUUUUAAAACUAGGGAUUGAAUUUAAGAGGUGCUCAAUCACUGAGUUGCUUAGGGCCUCUCUAAGUUGCUGAGGCUGGCUUUGAACUUGGGAUCCUCCUGCCUCAGCCUCCUGAGACUUUGUGAUUACAGGUGUACACCACUGCAUCUGGCUUAAAUGUGGGCCCUAGUUUGACAUAAGAAAUUAUAUUCAUAAAAUAAUCCAUGGCAUUAGAGUAUGGUUAGUAUGAUGUUUGAAAUGUGGCUUAGGGACAGAAACUAUGGUGGUUUAGCUCACAUUGAGGAGUAAAUACUACAGUUCAAGUACAUUGACAAAAUUAUUUUGUUCACUAAUUAAGUUAUGAAUCAGCAAUACUAAUAUAAGUAAAUCCUUUUCAAGCUUUAAAAUAAUUUCAAGUUGGUAAUAAUAUUUAGAGAAUGUGUAGUUCAGCAUAGUAUUUAGAAAAUAGUAUGUGAAUUUGGUAGGUUUCUUAUUCUUUCAGUUCUGGGGAUUGAAUGUAGGGGUGCUCUACCACUGAGCCACACCCCAAGCCCUGAUUUUAAUUUAUAUUUUGAGACAGGCUUUGCUAAGUUGCUCAGUCUGGCCUGGAGCUUGUGAUCCUCCUACCUAAGCCUCUUGCAUCGCCAGGACUACAGUGUGUGCCACUGCAUCCAGUUCUUAGUUUUUUGUCUUCUUGGGUACCAUGAAUUAUGUAAAAUAUUGAGUUUGUACUUAUCAGUCUUACACUACUUAUCAAGACUGAUGGCAUUUUCAAUAGUAAGAAAAAAAUGACAAAACUAAAAACCAGGCAAAUGAUCUGAACAGAUGAAUUACCUAAGAUACCCAAAUGACAGAUAAGCUCACGAAAAGGUGUUUGACCUUAUUAGUCAUUAAGGAAAUGUAAAUCAAAGCAAUGAGAUUUCUGCACACUUAUUCAUAUGGCCUCAAUUAAAAAGACUGACCAUAUCAAGCGUGGGCGAGGAUGUGCAAGAUUUAGAAUUCUCAAACACUGAGGUAGAGAUGUAAAAUGGCACAUUUUGGAAGACAAUUUGGCUGUUUCUCCAAAAGUUAAAUAUACACUUACCAUAUGAUUCAGCUCUUCCACUCAUAGGAAAUAAAGCUCGUGUACAAGAAUGUUCAUUGCAGUUUAAUUAGGUGUGACUAAGAUCUGGAAACAGUUCUGAAGUCCAUUGACAGGUAAAUGGAUAAACAAAUUGUAGUGUAUCCACAUGACGGAUACUUCUUAAUAAUGAAAAGGUAUGAACUAUUGCUACUUUCAGUAACAUGAUGACCUCACCUAUGAGAAUAUGUGCUGUACCAUUCCAUUUAUAUAAAAUUUCAAAAAAGCAUAGAAAUAUACGAUAACAGAUCAGUGGUUGCCUGGUGGUGUGGCUCAGUGGUUUAGCUCCUUUAGGUUAAAUGCAUCCCUGGGUUCAAUCUCUAGUACUCCCUCCCCUGAAAAAUAUGUGCAGUUUAUUGUAUGUCAGUUACCCUCAAUUAAAGAAACUAAAGAUCCUAAGAAAUCAUUGUUAUAGGAGAUGGAAGGUUUAAAUGUCCUUUUCCUGCAAAAUAAAAACCAGUAUCUCUUGGGGAGAAAUCUUGAUACAAUUUUAAUGGUUUAGGUAUAGAAAUACAUAGCUUUUUCUUAGUACAGAUAAGAAACAGUAUCUUUUGCUGCUCCUUAAGACAUUUGUAUAAGUGGUUCAGCGAAUUUCUUUUUUUAGCUUGGUAGGGUCAGCCACCUACCUGAUUUAUAAACAUUUGCACUUCAUAUUACACUGUUAUAGUGUGCAUCUUGUGACACAUGAAGGUGGCCUCAGAUUGCAAAAAGAAGACACAAAAAUGCCCACCUUCAGACUCUACCAUUGUUAGAGAAAUUACAAUCUUGUAUUUGAAGAGUGCAUGAAAUUUUAUUAUAUUUUGAGCCUCACUGAUACACAAUUGAUAUAGCAUACAAUGUGAUGUCCCCGUGUGUGGUUGAAAUGAUUACUGUCAGGUUCAUGAACACACACAUAUCACCUCUUGUAGUUGUUGGUUUAAGAUCUACUCUUGGCAAAUUUUAGGCAUACAAUACAGAAUUAUUAAUUAUGAAAUACUUGCAUAAACCACAUUUCAUGGAUCACUCUCUGUGGUCCUUUUAUAAAGUAUUCGAGUCAGUGGUCCCCUUCAAUCCUCAGUUUCCCCAUCUGUAAAUGAAUAACAACCACCAGCUUCCUACCACAGAAUGCUUUACCACUCAAACCUCUUUCCAGUGUAUGCAAUAAACUGCACGGGGACCAGUUACAGCCUUUUUAAUCUUUAGGACGGCAUUUUACAAAACACAUUUUUAGGAGGCAGAAAAAGGUCUGUGGUUGAAGGUAAGUUUAGGAAAAGCUUGAGUGGAACCCGAGACACAUCAACUAGGUUUCUUUCCUGAAGAAUUUCUCAGAACCAUUUGUAUUUGUAGCAAAUUUUUAAGAAAAGCAUAUGGUACAUGUGUAUUUCUCAGAUUUAAUAGAUUCAAAGAACUGAUUCUCCUGGUUGAAUGCUCCAAAGAAUAAACUUUGGGAAAUGGCUGUUUUGCAACUUGUUAUUUGAUGUACUGGUAAAAUGACAAUUUUCCUAAAAGCUUUCUGUCUGUCCCCACUGGCAUGUACAAAACAGAACAUUGCUUGUUUUCUUGACUUGGUCGUGGGAUUUUUGAGUUUCUAAACUUUUUUAUUCAUGUCUUAAAAACUCACCCAGGUGUAUUUUAACCUUUUAAAAUUAGGGGAUAUAAUAAUAUGGAAGCACAAAGAAUUUAAGGAUUUGUCUGAACAUGGAACUCAGUGAAAGGAAACCCUAUGUUUUUCUUUUGUUUUGACCAAAGCCUCUAAUUCCACCCUUUUAAGCAUCUCCAUUUAUUCCAUCCCUAAUUCUGUGGUCCAUCUUGGAUUGCGCUGGGGCAGCUGUGGAAGAAAAGUGGUAAUGUACAAAGCAGUUCUUUCCCAUCAGUGAAGGGUUUACAUUUACUGUUGAUCCCAGUAGUAGGGUGAAUUUUACCUUUAAGCAUGAAAAGAAUGAUCAUCUCAGGAAUUGUUUUUUUCCAGUUUGUUCCUCAGAGAAUUUAAUAAUUAGAAUCAAACGCAUAGGAGAGAUAACAUCAAAAUGAGUAGUCAUUUCUGUGAUUAAUUUGAGUAGGCUUGGUGCCCUUAUCUACCGGCUAGCAAUGGGAAACAGGAGAAAGACCAUGGGGAACGCAUGGAGUUAGGGAGGAAAUCAGGCAAUUACAGACCUAGGUAAACUUGGCAUUGCUAAUUAUAUUUAGGAAUUACAAGUUGAAGGUAAUUCUUCAGUUUUGAGCUCCUUUCACCCUACUAUUUUCUCUCCAUGGGAGGGUUUUUAUAUUCCUUUUACUUUAGGAGUGUGUGGGGUGGUGUUGGGGCUGGAAUCCAGGGUCUUGCACAUGCUAGUCAAGCACUCUAUAUACCACUGAGCUAAGUCCCAGUCAGUUUGUUCCUUUUUGACAUUGCCAUUUAUACUCCUCAAGUUCCCUCUACACACACAUUCUCAUU